ACACCCAUAUUUAAAUACCUAGUGUAAGGAGCAUUUUAAAAGUGUCAGUUGACUUUUAGAAAGCGUCCUUUCAUUAGCAGACUAUAAACCACCAGUGACUCUGACAAUGUUUUCACCAAGGCCCAAAGGGGCGGGGCUAUAGACUUGACUAUCUCAGCCAAUGAGGUUUACGUGGCUCUCAGGGACAGCUGGUAAAAUGUGGCUUGAAAAGAAGUGAGAACAAUAAUGACUUCAUUUCAAAAAAGCUGCCGACUUUACACUUAUUACAGUGAGAUCCUAACCAUGCUUCCUAACUGCCUCUUUCCUGACCUGGAGCCAGAAACUGUAUGUCCUUCACGCUGCAGAUGACAUGUCUACAUCACCUUGCCCUCGUAGCUCAGUGUGUUCUUUGGCCAGGGACCUGUGACUACAGUGUGACCACAGCGUGACCAGAUGCUCUUUACUGAUGUCAAGCCACCAAGUUGCAGAUGCUACCAUGACACCAACCUGACUUCCCUGAGCAGAUAACCUCACCAAUGUGUCCUGGAACCUCAUCUCCCCAGAGCCCUGCCACACUAGGGAAAGACAGAAACAGGCUGCUACCUGCCAACACCCAUGUCCAGUGGAGAAGCAAUUACAGAAGA